rnacentral:rRNA from 1 species
GUGGGGUAAUGGCCCACCAAGGCGACGACGGGUAGCCGGCCUGAGAGGGUGACCGGCCACACUGGGACUGAGACACGGCCCAGACUCCUACGGGAGGCAGCAGUGGGGAAUAUUGCACAAUGGGCGAAAGCCUGAUGCAGCGACGCCGCGUGAGGGAUGACGGCCUUCGGGUUGUAAACCUCUUUCAGUAGGGAAGAAGCGAAAGUGACGGUACCUGCAGAAGAAGCGCCGGCUAACUACGUGCCAGCAGCCGCGGUAAUACGUAGGGCGCAAGCGUUAUCCGGAAUUAUUGGGCGUAAAGAGCUCGUAGGCGGUUUGUCGCGUCUGCCGUGAAAGUCCGGGGCUCAACCCCGGAUCUGCGGUGGGUACGGGCAGACUAGAGUGAUGUAGGGGAGACUGGAAUUCCUGGUGUAGCGGUGAAAUGCGCAGAUAUCAGGAGGAACACCGAUGGCGAAGGCAGGUCUCUGGGCAUUAACUGACGCUGAGGAGCGAAAGCAUGGGGAGCGAACAGGAUUAGAUACCCUGGUAGUCCAUGCCGUAAACGUUGGGCACUAGGUGUGGGGGACAUUCCACGUUCUCCGUACCGUAGCUAACGCAUUAAGUG